UGCAGGCUAGAGGUCAAUGUCAGAUGUCUUCCAGAAUCAUUGUCCCCCUUAUUUUUUGAUACAGGGUCUCUUGCUAAAACUGGAGGUCUCCAAUUGACUGGCUGGCCAGUGAGCUUGUGCUUAUCUCUACCGCUGUGGUUCUGGGAUUGCAGGUGUGUACACACCUGGCCUUUUUACACUUAACCCAGGUCCUCAUGCUUGUGUAGCAAGAGCCGUCUCUUCCCCAACUCUUCUUCCUCCCACUUUUUAAUCAAUAAUGUCAGAUCAUGCCAUAGGGAGCUGCAAGGCUGACCACAGAUAGAUUACGAGAAGGGCUGUUUGAUAUCAGUACCCUCAGGGAGCCCCACCCUAGUCUAUGCUAAUGUAGGAUGCGUGUGGUACCUGGUAUGGGUUCACUGAACCCUCGGGUGGGCCAGGGGUGGUAUGUGUGGGCCAGGAGCUAUGAACCCAAUGCCAACCCUGCUGUGCGGUACUUGAAGAAAAGCCAUGAGGUAAAUUUACCAUGGGUGUGACUGGUGUUUUAUGGUCCAUAUCUUUACAGUGAAGAACUCCAUCCUGGAGGACCUCCUGAUUGGGUAGCUCUAACCCAAGCAGGGGUAUUGGUGCCCGCAGUACUCCUGGUGAGUGAUAGGUACUUUAGCCCAACAUCAAGCCCACAUCUGUCAAUAACUUUGUCUCUGCUCACCGCCAUGUCUGUUGUUCAAUUUUGCUUGUCUUUUGAGGAUUAAACCCAUUGACUGCUUCCCAACACAAGUUCCUGCCUAGGACAUGUCUUCCAGAUGUGACAUCUUCCUAGGGGAAGGACACUGGAGUCACCGUCGGUGGAAAAGGUAUGAAUGACAAAGUGUUUUGUCUAAAAGCAUACAUUUUAUUUUAUUUAUAUGUGUGUACUGCUCUACUAAUGCUGAGUAUGCAUUCCAUACCUAGGAGGAAUUCCUGAUGCAUCCUACCCCUGGGGGUGAAGGUGGCUUCCUUGGCCCCUCCCCCCAGCUCCUAGCAAGCGGUUCUCAUGGCCACGGCAGAGACACAAAAGUAAGUAAGAACCAUCAGACUGAGACUGGGACUGUUGUGCUUUAGCUCAUGUUUCAUGGGCCAAGCCAAUGAAGGGUGGGGAGGUGCCCUGCACCUGUGAGGUCAUGGUAGUACAUGUGCAGGCAUGGGCAACCAACCAUCUACCUGGAACACCCAAGAAGUCUAGCUUUAUUCAUGUUCUUUCAUAGAUCAGUGUUCCAUUUCCAUUUCCCCCUGGGAAGCUAAGGCUCAAUGUAAUCUGUUCUCUGAAACCCCAUGUUAUUUACAUAUAGUUUUGUCCAGGAAACAUUACCUGGUUCUGACAAAGGCACAGAUACCUUUUUGGUUCCCAUCUCGUGAAGAUUUCCUUGGCUUGGGACUCCCCUAUGGUACACAGGUUGCUAUCCACUUCUCUAGUGGGCAGGUGGUGACCUUAACUGGGAGGUCAUGGGAUGCUCCUCCAGUCUUAUCCACGGAUCCACAGCCAGACUUUGGGAAGCCAAGUCAAUAUUGUAUCAUCUUUCUCCAAUAUUUGAGGAGACUCCAAAGAACCCCCAAAUGAUGACUAAGCCAAAGGCGGCCUACAAGAUCCCCAUUCUGCCUGCGUGGAGCGGGCACAGCUGUGAGAGCCCCCUAGGUACAGCGGGGCUGCAGCGUGAUCGCCUGCUCACGCACAGGAAGUGACGGCAAACAUUACGCAAACUGCAGGGUUCCAUGCUGCUGACAUACGGUGCUUAAUGAGAAGUUGCCCGUGUUUUUUUCGCUUUAUAUGUGACGAAACAUUCGCGGUGCACUUCUUUUUCAGCAUCCUAUUCUACAUUGAAGACUUCGGGGUUCAUCCGCUAACUUCAGGGAAGCCAUGUUAGUCUAUGUAGUGGGGCUGGGUUGAGGGUUUAUCUCCCUUCUUGAACAGUUUCCUGAGCUUUCUUAGCAAGAAUGGGUUAGGGUUGGUUGGACCCUCCCACCUCCUCCGUAGCUCAACUUUAAAGGAAUCUGUUGAUUCCUUUCCUUUCAGCUGCUAUUGAUUGAGAGAUGAGACCUUAGCCCACAGGGCUGAUGAGAUACAAGGAGGUAUUUGUUGAGGCUUCUGGGAGAGGGAGUAGUUCUUCAUUUCUUUGAGAGAUGCCCGAGGACCCCCAUGUUCCCUUCAGCCACUUGAUGUGGUAAUGAAUGUGAGCUUGAAAGCCAGCUAGAAUCCAAGAGGUCAGUACCCAGGGCUCUGUAGAUGCAGAGGGAAAGGCCUGUAUCCCGGGGGACAGAUUGGAGAGGCAGAAAGGAGCCAAGAAACAUCUGGGUAACAGAGUUCAACCUGGGACCUGCGUCAAAACUCAACAUGUCUCUAUACCUUUAAGUUGUAUGAGCCUGGACACCUCCUUUUUGUGUAAGUUGCCUUGAAUUUUACCUUACUGUGAGAGAAAUGGGUGACUCUUUGUUGAGUUACCAAUGCGUGUAAUUGGCACUCUUUGGAUGAUACGUUCUCUUUGCUUGGCUAUCCCUGUUGUCCUGUGUAAGGUAGGUUGGUGGUACAAGGUCACUUUCUUUUGUGGAGUUCUUGGCUGCACUUCAGGUAUAUUACUGUCUUAGUGCUUUAACUUUGCAAUGACACUAACACGCACUAAUGUGUUUUGUUUUCAGGGAAGGAUCACGUAGCCUCUUCAGGAGACCAGCAGGGUGAUGGACAGGCUUUACCUUCCCAGACUUCCCACCCUCAGAAUCCUGCACGCUGCCAUUCCUACCUCAUCCCUGGGCUUCAGAGUUCUCCAUAAGGUGUUUGCCGUGUUUGUCAAGUCACAAGCCGCUGCUGUACAGGGGUGACACUUGCCUGCAGGGCGACCAGAGAGGGGGACAUCUCAGUGGGGAGACCCAGGAAUCAGAACUGCAACAGGCAAGCCCAGCUGGUGUAUGCUGCCCUGGAUGUCAUUACCCAGUCCUGUGUCCUUUCUUCCUCAGCUCUAGAAAGGGACCCUGGAACUCAGGAAGGAGAGUCUGUGUUGGAGUUGGCCACCCUCCCAUCGCGCCUGAGUGACACUCUCCAGGGACACUGACAAGGGUAGAAGCCAACGUUCCAGAAUCCUCAACCUUGAUGAUCAAAUUCUACCCGCCAAGACUUCCUGGGAUCCUAAGGUAGAGGGGAUCUGGGUUGGAUUGCUCUGGGCAUGAUGAGCACUGUGCCAUCUGCCUCUGCUCAGGACCCACCUCACCCUGCCCCAGUCUAGCCUUGCCCACCACCCCUCCUGCCUGCCCCUCAGCAUCCCUUCACACCCAGGCACACUGCUGGAGCAAGCAAGAGCUCAUCUGUGGUACCUGAAAAGAAGUCGCCCGUGUUAUUUUCGCUUUUAUUUGUGACGAAACAAACAUGGUGCACUUCUUUUUCGAUAUCAAACGUCACCUUGGAGAGCUCCCCAGGGGCCAGUGGGAGGGGCCAGGGCUCCUAGGCUCACUUGGUACUUUUCUCCAUGUGCCCCGGAGCAUUCGCCCCAAAGAAACACACCCCACCACCACUCACUCCCAUCCUCACCCUCACCCUCACCUUCACCCUCACCCCAUUGGCUCUGUGUGUUGCUGGGUUCAGGGACACUUGGUGUCUGUCUGCCCCAACUCCUGGGACAGGCAGAGUUGGUAAGGGGAGGCAGGAAGCACACCUCUAGACUCUCUUGUGGGACUGAGGUCAGAUAAGGGAAGCUCAGAAAAACGGUCGAACACAUCCAAUCACAGACGGUUUACAUAACCCAACCACCAGCACAAGUCAGCCACCAGCGCCCUCCGGAGCUGACAAGUGCCUGGGUGUCAGCUCCAGGGGUCUACACCAAGACCUGUCACCUGUUGAGUGUCCUACACACUGUCACUCUAGAAGAGCCUGGGCCCCCAGCACAGCCCUGCUCCCGCUUCCUGUCCUGUCCCCAUGGGCUGUGGUCUUUGAUACCAUCAGCAAGGUCUUGAGGACUGUGGGUUCUGGCUAUGAUCGGGACCAGGGGACAGCAAGCCAUCACCAGCCACUGCUGUCUGUCUCUAGUCCCCGACGUGAGUCCCCCCCCCCCCCCCCCGUGAGCUGUCCUCUGGAGCGGGUGUGAGGCUCUCUUGAAGACAGCUUUUUUCCCCAGUGGAUUCAUCUUCUUUAUGGCUACUGUUCUCAGGUAGCCUCUCCUCCUGGUAUCAGAUUUGCCUCUGAGCGUGGCUGUUUGGGUGCGGACCCUUGGCGGCUCUCUUAUGUGAGUAGAGAAAGGGAUACUAUCCAGAGUGUUUGUGUGGGAACACCUCAUCCACCCACCUCCCCUGGGGUGGAGGGCGGUUCUUGAAGCUAUGUCAGCAGGAGUAAGGGUUGUGGGAUCGCUCUUGGGCCACACUUUGCUAACAUACAAUCCAUUCCUGUUGCUUUGCUUAAUUUAUAGCCAAAGCUUUUGGUACACUUACAUAUAGCUGCUGUCAUAAUUCAUCAUCAAAACCCAGCACUGACUUCAUCACAGAGAUAUCACUAUAUCAACCACACACUUAACUCUUGGGUCAUACUGGCUCAGUGAUGCCUUUACAACCUGCUAUGGCCCUAAGUGUCCUUUGGGCUCUGUCCUGAUGGAAAUACCUUUGGAAAAGCAACAACUCUCCCUUUAUGUCCAUGGAGAAAGGCUACAGGGCAUGGAGCAGGCAUGGUCAGCCCAUUUUCCUAGGUUGAAAGUCCCUUUCCACCUAGUGGAUACUGGCCUCGGUGCUGGUGGAGCAGUGAGCACGCCAUACAUUAUAUGUGUGACACCUGCCACCCAGCCCAAGGCCCCUAGGCCCACAUGCUUCUGGAGAGGGGUCUGACUUGUAUGCACCCAAAGAAUGCAGAGACUUGCCCAGCAGUGCCUCUGUUUGGCACCUAAGGUAACCUGACUUCCUGAGUCCCUUUCACAGCCAGCCUUGUGCUCUCCUGGCAGACCUCUGGAUGCUGUCAUUCAUCCCUCCAGCCCAGGUACGUGUAGGCCUGGAGGGAGCCUUGAGGGUAGAAUGUUCCCUGGGCACAAAUCUCACCCCCUGUCUCUUUCACAGAGACGCCUGGGCAGGACUGCGGCAGCUGGCCCAAGAGAGGCCCCAAGGGAUGGCGUCCACCUCAAGGUGUUUGUUCAUGGAAGAUCUUAAACGUUGACCUCUCUUGAGCACAAAAUCUUUUCUUGACGAUCUUUCUGCAGCCAGUGUCAAGCUCAGAAAUAUGAUCAGCCCCUUGCUGAUGGUUCCCAAAGAUCUGAACAAAUAGACAAGCACAAAUAUAUACUGAAAAACACAGUACCGAGCACAUGAUGAAGGGCCUCGUGACUUCAUGCAGGGAAGCAGGGAAGCAGCUUUGGUCUGCUGGUAAGUGAUAGACACUUGUCCAUGUGACUAGCUUUAAGGAGUUUGUGAGGAAUCAUGUUUUCUUCUGUAGCAAGCUACAGAUUCAAGGGAAGGGUCUUGGCUCUUGGUAACUGUCAGGCAUCAUCUGUCCCUCUUGCCUUUGGUGACCCAUCUUUGGGGAACCCGUGACCUCUUUACUUUUGUGAGCAGCAACUGUUUUCAACUUACCAGAUUUUGAAGCCAGUUCUUUGGACAGAUAUUGGAGGGCUGGUCAUAGAAUACAUGUUGCAUGUGUGGGGAAUGUCACCUGGUCCAUUUGUUCUCAGCAUUAAGGAUAUGUUGAAGAAGGUUCUGGGGUGACUGGCUGAGUUGGGGUUCUCAGUGCUUCCUGUUUGCUUCGUGGAGGCAUGUUUUUUUUUAAUCAAAGAUUUGCAGUGUCUAUGUUGGUAUGCCUCUGUGUCUGAUCUACUCAAAGAAGAUUUUCCAGGAAGUUGAGCUAAUGUUGAUAGGACUUGAUAAUGUGGUGAUCAUGAGUCAUGAACAUGAAGAUAUCCUUCGUGUCUGUUUCUAACAGUCUGUCCCACUGAUGUACUGGACCUGUGUGUUGGAGCCUUCUGGACUCGUCCUGCUUCCCAAAAACUUCCUUGAUGUCUUCAAUGUUCCAUGGCAUGUGCAUGGAUGCUCCAGCAGACACUUUGCUGUGACCUUUGCCAUGGGUAGCCAAGAUGGGCUCUAUAUGGAAGUAGAACUGUCUUUGGGAAUCAUGAGGGGAAAAACUCCUUGUCAUGAACUCUUGGGGUUGGGGGUGCUUAGAGUGACUCUCUGAUAGGGCAUGUGACAACCAGGUGAUAUAUUUAGCUAUGAGGUGGGCACUAGGAGUCCAGAUUCUCUUCUGUUGUUAAUGUAGUCAUCUAGGCCAGGGUUCUCCAGAGCUGUUCAGCUUCUGAUAUUCAAAAGGUGAGUGUUCCUUCUAUGCCUCAGGUUAAUCAUAGAGGUAACACCCACAUUUUCAGUAUCUCAAGUUGCCCUGGAAUGUUUCUAAAUGCAAAGUGGCCCAGGGAAAAAGCGAGUUAUCUCCUCUUCCCCCACCCAGGGAUCGAGGGGGGAGAUGGAUCCCACAACCUGUGCUUUCCACAGCAAGGUUGAUCCUGGAAUCUGUCCUCUGUGGGCUGUGCCAAGGGCGCCUGUCAGCUGUCUUCUUCAUUUCUGACCGAUUGGGCCUCGGCUCUUGCUCUUCGGGACUAAACCCUUUUGGUAUUUAAAAGGUGGAUAUUCCUUCUAUGUUUAUGGUAUUUAUGAUUAAACAUAGAGGAAAUUUCACGUUUUCAGUGUCAAAUGCUGCUGGGAAAUGGGCCUGAACUGAAGUCACCAUCAGGGCAGUGACAGUACAGUUGGCCCCUCCAGGGUAAGUGGGAAGCUGGCGAUCCACAGAGCAUGCGCCAGACUCGUAGGUGCCUGAGGGCCAUUGACCAGUCUUGAAGAGAAUCUCUGAUGAGCUGCUGGCUCAGCCGGAGGCCGGGGGUCUCAUUCUGGACUCUAUGACAGCAUAUCAGUCUUUCCCAUAGUAUGCCCUUUGCUUCAGAUAGGUUGUUCUUAGGUCGCGCUUUCCAAGAGUAAGCCCUGUUUGGUAUGUAAAAGGCAGAUUUUCCUUUUGUGGUUGUGUGCUUGCUGGUUAGUCAGAGAGGGGACAUCCAUGUUUUCAGUCUCACGUGCCUCUCGGGAGCCAUGAUCCACCAGGGAAACAAGGCUGGGCUCAGCACCCUCCGGGUAAGUGGAAAGGUGGUGGACUGCAGACCAUGUGUGUUUCUCAUAUCAUAUGUCUGCUGGCCAUCACCUUUAAGGGUCUCCUUGCCUGUGGAGCCAGCCUGACAAAGAGGCGAUGUUGCCUCACUACAGUGACGUCUGGGCGCGGGAAUGAGAGCCUUUCUGUCUUGUGAUCUGUUUCAGAGAAGCCCAUGCACCACAGCUGGUCCUUCCCGGAACUCAGCAUUUCUUUGGUAUUUAAAAGGUGGAUAUUCCUUCUAUGGUUACGUGCUUCCUGGAUAAUCAUAGAGGAACAUCCACUUUUUCAGUAUCAAAUGUCGCUAUGGAACUAUUUCUGGAAGAUU